UUUACCGGAGUACUAUGAAUAUUAAAAAUUUAAAACUCAAAGAACUUGGCGGUGUUUUAGACCACUCAGGGGAACCUGUCUCAUAAUCGACAAUCCACGUUGUACCUGACCUUUUUUUGUAUUCAGUUUGUAUACCGUUGUCGUCAGGUAACUUUUUAGAGAUUAGAAGUUAGCAGCAGAAAUAAAAAUAAUUUAAUACGUCAAAUCAAGGUGCAGCUAAUGAAAAGGGGAGGAUGGGUUACAAUUAUAUGAUUUAUAAUAACGGAUAAGUAUAUGAAGUAUAUUAAUUAUAAGGCGGACUUGAAAGUAAAUUAAGUUAUAUAAAUAAUUUGAAUGAGGCUCUGAAACGUGU
rnacentral:rRNA from 1 species